rnacentral:rRNA from 1 species
GAUGAACGCUAGCGGCAGGCUUAAUACAUGCAAGUCGUGGGGCAGCGCAGUAUAGCAAUAUAUAGGCGGCGACCGGCAAACGGGUGCGUAACACGUACGCAACCUUCCCGUUACUGGGGAAUAGCCCAGGGAAACUUGGAUUAAUACCCCAUAUUAUAUAGAAUCAGGCAUCUGGUUUAUAUCAAAGCUUCGGCGGUAACGGAUGGGCGUGCGGUUGAUUAGAUAGUUGGCGGGGUAACGGCCCACCAAGUCUACGAUCAAUAGCUGAUGUGAGAGCAUGAUCAGCCACACGGGCACUGAGACACGGGCCCGACUCCUACGGGUGGCAG